rnacentral:lncRNA from 1 species
UCUAUUACUAGAAGUUAAAUCUAUAUUAAUAAACCUCAAAUAACUUCUGUCAUAAUUAAAAUGGGUUUGACAAAUAUAAGAAUUUUAAAAGGUUGUUGUGGUCACCAUUUAUAGUAAUUAACUCUUAAGUCAAAAGGCUGCUAGUUUUAUUACAGCAAGGUAGAGAUAAUAAGAGAGGGAAACUGUGAUAUUGAAAUCUCUUUAAAAAAGACUGAUAUAUAUUAAUUUAAGGUCGCCAAAGAAUUCACUUAUGUAAUUCCUAAAUGAAACACUCAAGUCAGCUACCAAAUUUUUAUGGUGUUUUAAUUACAACAGGAGGAAGUAAGGAAGGAAGGAAGGAAGGAAGGAAGAAGGAAAGAAAAACUUCCUGAUCCUGAAGGAGAGAGCAAAAGGGGAACAGGAGGAUGGAGAAAAGAACUAGAAUCUUAAAACGCGCCUUAAAUUGCCUUUUAGAUAUAUGGGGAAAGGCUGAACAAACUGUAGUAUAUUAAUGUAAUGGAUUAGUGUCACUCCAAAAGAAAUUAUGAAAGAGAAAGUUCUAGAGAAUCCUGCAUAAUACAGAGAUGCAUAGUAAAGUGAGGAAAACAAUUUAUAUAAGAAUAUUAACAGUAAAGAAAAACAACUUUGUAAGACUUAAGAACUUGGAUUGAUGAAAUGACCAGCAAUAUAUUCAGAGGACUAUGAUGCAGCAUUUUUUCCAUCUCCUGACAGAGAAGUGCUAGACACAGAGAGACUCACAUUUAUAACACUCAUAGCUAACAUUUAUAUAACACUAUGAGAUUUGCAAAGAGUUUUAUGUGGGUUAUCUCUUUAGAUCCUCAAAAUAAUCUUGUGAGGUAGAUGCCAUAAUUGUCUCCAUUUUAUACAUGCAGAAUGUGAGGCAGAUAGACAUAAAUGACUUGCUUAGGGUCUCUCAGUGACCCCUAAGUACCUGAAAUAGGAUUUUAUUCUUCCUGAAUCCAAGCCCAGCACUUUUUGUACAGUGUUUCAUUUUUGGACAGGCUAUCACAUGAGUUCAUUUUGCUUAACUGUGUUUAUUAGUUACAAGGAUUUUGUU